AUGGCGACUCAGAAACUUUCUGAAUACGAACUGAAGCGACUCGAAAACAUUCGUCGCAACACCGAAAUGAUUUCCGCUCUCAAAAUAUAUUCCAAAGCGUCACAACUCUUCAAGCCUCCAAGUGCUGUGACCAAAUUGAAAUCAGAGAAGAAACCGAAAACUGAAACCCCUAAUGCUACCAGAUUCUCCCUCCGAACCAGAGGUAGUAUUUUUUAUUUUUAG